UACGUAGGGGGCAAGCGUUGUCCGGAAUCAUUGGGCGUAAAGCGCGUGUAGGCGGCUCGAUAAGUCUGCUGUGAAAGUUCAGGGCUCAACCCUGAAAUGCCGGUGGAAACUGUCGAGCUAGAGUCCGGAAGAGGCGAGCGGAAUUCCUGGUGUAGCGGUGAAAUGCGCAGAUAUCAGGAGGAACACCAAUGGCGAAGGCAGCUCGCUGGGACGGUAACUGACGCUGAGACGCGAAAGCGUGGGGAGCAAACAGG
rnacentral:rRNA from 1 species